rnacentral:lncRNA from 1 species
UAUUUAAAUUGGAUAUCGGGUUCACGAGUAGGAGGGACAACCCUAUAAACACCCAGGGAAACCAGUAAGCAAGUAAAAAAGAAAAGUUAUUGUUUCUUGUUCUCUUAUGCGUGAAAGUGAAAAGUGAUAUGGAUAUGGAUCUUCAUAGGUUGUCUUUGGAAAACUCGUUAAGGUAAAUAUCAAACAAACGUCUUCAAGUUUAAAUGUAUUUAAAUAAAGUAAGGACUCUAUUAGUUAUUUUUCUGAUUUUUUACCAAUAUUCAGUUUUUCGUAUCUAUAAUUAGUGUGAUA